rnacentral:SRP_RNA from 1 species
UUCGGGGUAAGUUGGUAUAAGAUCAAAUUGGUCAGGUCCGGAAGGAAGCAGCCAGGGUUGAGUACCGCUGUACCCCGUUUUU